GCCGUGUUGGGCUUUCUACCUUAGUGUGUUUGAACCCUCCAAGCUACCAGUCCCAAGCAUCUGCAUCCCAUCUUAUUGCCUUGCUCUUCACAAGCAUAUGUAGAAGAAGGCCUAACUAAUGGGCAUGACUCCCCUCCCAGUUUUUGUCCUCCUGUUAUUGAUUUGUUUCUGCAAGUUCGAUGAUCGCCUAACACCGGCAAAGCCACUCUCACCCGGUGACAAGCUCGUCUCAAAUGGUGUCAUCUUUGCUCUUGGCUUCUUCUCCCUGACAAACUCAACUUCAAACUCAUACAUCGGCAUAUGGUACCACCACAUCCCCGAGCCAACAUACGUGUGGGUCGCAAACCGCGAUAACCCCAUCGCCAGCAGUUCUCAUGCUAAGUUGGUUCAAAUUUCACCAUUUUACCUAGUAGACAUUUAAAUACUCGUGAGCUUAUAUGCUUGUUUGGUGACCUCAGACGAUCUUACACUAAAUACAACUUCUCCCUGGUAUUUUUAUUUAUUGUAGCUCACUCCGUGUUUGGUGAGAAGAUACAUUGUCACAUCCAAUAUAUACUCCUAGUUUUUUACUCUGCCUUUUGCACCUCUCCUUGUCAACAUAAUCAAAAGUUGACCUGGAUAUAUAUGCAUGCUUCUUCAAUCUACUUUUUUUUCUGUUAAUUAUUAUCUCCAUUGUAUAUACUUUUGCAGUGAGCAAAAAGAAGACUGGUGCGCUGAAGAUUGCACUCCCAGUCUUGUCAAUUCUAUCAUUACUUGUGUGCAUUUGUCUUGUCUGGAUAUGCAAGUCAAGAGGCAAGCUCCAAACAAAGGCAUCCAUCGAUAUCUUGAUUGAGGGACAAUUGGGCAAUUAUGAUGAACCAUGCGAUCAGAAAUUUCUGUGGAUUAGAUUCAAAGACAUUGUCCCUGCUACAAACGGUUUCUCUGAUUCCAAUUUGCUUGGAAAAGGUGGCUUUGGCAUAGUAUACAAGGGAACGCUGGAAAGUGGCAUGGAGGUUGCUGUUAAAAGGCUUACCAAGUAUUCUGAACAAGGAAUAGAGCAUUUUAGAAAUGAAGUAGUUCUCAUAGCAAAACUGCAGCAUAGAAACUUAGUUAGACUUCUUGGUUCCUGCAUCCGUGGAGAUAAGAGGCUGCUUAUUUAUGAAUACUUACCCAACAAAAGCUUAGACUACUUCCUUUUUGGUAUGUCCUGAUCACUUAGAAUGAUUCUUGUGCUGACCAAAGGAGCAUGCCCGAUGUUACGACUAACAUAGCUUUACAAAAUUUGUUCUUGUCAUGCAGAUGAUACUAAAAAAUCUAUGCUUGAUUGGCCAACAAGGUUUAGCAUAAUCAAAGGGAUAGCCAGAGGACUUCUGUACCUCCACUAUGAUUCAAGAAUGACGAUAAUUCACAGAGAUCUCAAAACAAGCAACAUAUUGUUGGAUGUGGAGAUGAGACCCAAAAUAUCAGAUUUUGGCAUGGCAAGGAUCUUUGGUGACAGCCAUCAACAAGCAAAUACUAGACAUGUUGUCAGAACAUAUUGUGAAGCAAUUUAAACAGUGGCUAUAUGUCGCCUGAAUAUGUGAUGGAAGGCAUUUUUUCUAUCAAGUCCGAUGCGUAUAGCUACGGUGUCUUGUUGCUGGAGAUUGUAAGUGGGUUAAAGAUCAGUUCGCCCCAUCACCUUAUAAUGGAUUUUCCAAACCUUAUAGACUACGCAUGGAACUCCCUGAAAGAAGGAAAAUCAAGGGAUUUCCUGGACACGAUGCUUCUGAAGAGCUGUUCACUGCAUCAAGUGUCUUUGUGCAUCCAUGUUGGCCUUUUGUGUGUCCAAGGCUGCCUAAGUGCCAGGCCACUAAUGUCGUUAGUCGUGUCUAUGCUGGACAACAAGGCCAUGCCACUCACAACACCAGAGCAGCUGUUAUAUUCCGUCGGGAGGAAGCAUGAUGCAGAAGAGGCAACGGAGAACUCUGUUAACAACGCAAGACUGACAACAUUAGCAGGGCGCUAGAUGCUUAUGAUUCCUUGCAGUGAGGUAACCUGAGUGCCCUGGAACAUCAAAGGGAAGCAGAUUAUGAUUGACUGCCAAGUGGGUUUCAGUGGCCAGCUGCAGGUGGAGAAUCCUCUUCCCCUUUGGCGCCCUCAUCCGAUGGUUAAAUUAAAAUUAGUAUUGAUGCUAUAUUUGAUCCAUUGGCUUAUAAAUCUUAUUGUGGUCGGCAUGUUCUUGCUGCUUGAGAUCAACUACUGGGAUCCAUGACUGUUUUGCCGGACGUGUCAAAAGGGAGGGAAAUGAGGUUGCAAUUAUUACAACUUUGUAGAAUAUAGUUGAUCAGGUAUUCAUGUUCAAUGAUUGUGUUGAAUCCUGGUGUCGAA